rnacentral:piRNA from 1 species
UGUACUCAUUGUUCAGUGAAGCCCUUUGCCU